GCUUAUGCCUGCACCAUCGACCGACCAUGAUCUUCUGUGAAAGGUUUGAGUACGAGCAUACCUGUUGGGACCCGAAAGAUGGUGAACUAUGCCUGAGCAGGGCGAAGCCAGAGGAAACUCUGGUGGAGGCUCGUAGAUGUGCUGACGUGCAAAUCGCUUUUCGGACUUGGGUAUAGGGGCGAAAGACUACUAGUAGCUGGUUCCCUCCGAAGUUUCCCCCAGGAUAGCUGGAGCUUGAUCAGUUUUAUCGGGUAAAGCGAAUGAUUAGAGGUACCGGGGAUGAAACAUCCUCGACCUAUUCUCAAACUUUAAAUAGGUAAGACGUCUGGGUUGCUUAAUUGAACCCAGGCAUUCAAUGAGAGCUCCAAGUGGGCCA
rnacentral:rRNA from 1 species